rfam:Bacillus sp. MTM 13 34, whole genome shotgun sequence.
UCCAUGGUGACGUGGAAUCUGAAGGAAGCGAGCGGCAAACCUCCGGUCUGAGGAACACGAACUUCAUAUGAGGCUGGGUAUCGCUGGACGAGUUUGCAAAACAAAACAAAGUCCUUUCUGCCGAAGGCGAUACAAAGUAAAUGAAGCAGAUAGAUGGAGGGAAAGAUUGUAUU